rnacentral:snRNA from 1 species
AUCGCUUCUCGGCUUUUGGCUAAGAUCAAGUGUAGUAUCUGUUCGUGUCAGAUAACACAGUCUACACGCCAUGCUGCACCUCCC